GCUUUAACAUGAAAGCACUUUCUGUAUGCACUGAGAGUUGGUAAGUGCUUCCAUGUUAAAGUAC
rnacentral:pre_miRNA from 1 species